UACGAAGGGUGCAAGCGUUACUCGGAAUUACUGGGCGUAAAGCGUGCGUAGGUGGUUUGUUAAGUCUGUUGUGAAAGCCCCGGGCUCAACCUGGGAAUGGCAAUGGAUACUGGCAAGCUAGAGUGCGGUAGAGGGUAGUGGAAUUCCCGGUGUAGCGGUGAAAUGCGUAGAGAUCGGGAGGAACACCAGUGGCGAAGGCGGCUACCUGGACCAGCACUGACACUGAGGCACGAAAGCGUGGGGAGCGAACGGG
rnacentral:rRNA from 1 species